rnacentral:rRNA from 1 species
UACGUAGGGUGCGAGCGUUGUCCGGAAUUAUUGGGCGUAAAGAGCUUGUAGGCGGUUUGUCGCGUCUGCCGUGAAAAUUCGAGGCUCAACCUCGAACUUGCGGUGGGUACGGGCAGACUAGAGUGUGGUAGGGGAGACUGGAAUUCCUGGUGUAGCGGUGAAAUGCGCAGAUAUCAGGAGGAACACCGAUGGCGAAGGCAGGUCUCUGGGCCACUACUGACGCUGAGAAGCGAAAGAAUGGGGAGCGAACAGG